UCUACACUUUACCUGGCAAACAAAUGGUUUCUAUAUGUAGCUAUCAUAAAACCGAUUUGGACUUAUUACGUACAAUUGUGGGAAUGUGCCAGCAAAUCUAACAGCGAAGACAUUCAACAUUGUCAAAACACUGCCCUUCCUACUAUUGUUGGAGUAUACUAAUUCGACUGGAAUGAACUUCAAUGAAGUAAUGCACCGAAAUUUGAAGAUAUCAUCAAUUAAGGAAAAAAAAAACAAAAAGUUUUUCCAAGCCAACGCAACUCCUAAACAACUUCUUGAAAGCUAAUUUUCAACUAUAGAAUACUCUACCAGUUCUAAUAGUUCAUCUAAAAAUGAAGUCCUGACAUGCAUUUUCGAAAUAAUAUACCUACUUAAAACUCAAAACAGUGCUAUUGAUGAUGUGUAACUAUAUAGUUGUAACAACCACUUAUUAACUUGACGUCGAUGCAUUAAGUAUGAAAGAUCAAGGUGGAUUUUUUAAUUUUAAUAGACUAUAGAACUACCAGACACCAGUAAAGAGUCAUUAUCAGAAAAUUUAUUCAAGUAAUAAAAUUAUAUUAUGAACACUGAGUCCUGAGAUUAUAGAUUCACUUGUGUAAACAUAUAAGCUGAUGUUCAUUAUACAAGAGACAUGGCAUUCUCGAAAACGAUUUGAGCGUGGAGGUAUGCAGGCUGUAUAUGGUUUAAAAUUCAUUAAAAAGUACACGAAAGUCCUUGCUGUAUACAUUAAUAAACACGCUCGCACAGCCGACAGAGCGCGCGAUAACUAAUGUCGAAGCAACCGCCAACUGAAUGUACAAUAUACAAUAGUCCCCAACGGAGAUUUUUACGGGAAGAGGAAAACAAGAAAAACAAAACACCGUUAAUUAUUACACGUGGUCUAUUUUAAUUUUUAUUGUUGUGUAAUAAUAUAAAAUAUAAUAAGUACUAAUGGCGUAAAAUCAUAUUUUUAAAGUACAAUUUAAGUAUUCAUCGUGUAUAUCGUGGUGCUAUUAUAAAUUAUAUUAUAUUAUUGUAUUGUAAUUAUUUAUAAACGAAAAUACGAUGCAAUAUUAUUAAUAUGAGGACAAAGGACAUAUUCACUGACCUGGAAUUUUGGCAAAAAAAAUGUAUAAACAACAUAAUAUAGUUGGGUUUUAUAAUUUUAUAAAAUUUUAUUUCACAUUUUAGUCUUAUAACGUUUUUGUUUUAGGUUUUAAGGUUAUGACCAAAAAAUACUAAACAACUUAAGCGAUAAGUAGUUUCACAGUAUAAAUUGUCUUCUAUCCUUUGAAUCAUCUGAAUCCAAAUUCGAUUAGAUAACUAUUAUAAUGUAAGACAAUGGUAAAUAGCUGUGCGUUACAAUUUAAAAUUCUUUACUCUCACAGUUUCAUAGCAUAAUAAUAUGUCUGCAUGCAUAAUAUAUAUUAUGAAUUUUACUCCGUUCUUAGGUAUUUAAUAAUACCACGACUAUUUUUAAUAUAAAAUGUUAAAUUAUUGUUUCUCUAGAGCUAUAUAAGUUUAUAUUACAAAUUCUAAUUUAUUUGAAAAUCAAUAAAAAUUCGGUCCUAUUAAAUCUAAUUUACAU